rnacentral:rRNA from 1 species
UGGGGAAUAUUGCGCAAUGGGGGAAACCCUGACGCAGCAACGCCGCGUGAAGGAAGAAGGUCUUCGGAUUGUAAACUUCUUUGAUCAGGGAAGAGAGAGGACAGUACCUGAAGAACAAGCCACGGCUAACUACGUGCCAGCAGCCGCGGUAAUACGUAGGUGGCAAGCGUUGUCCGGAAUUACUGGGUGUAAAGGGCGAGUAGGCUGGAAUAGAAGUCAUGUGUGAAAUACCGUAAAAAAAAUACGGAAGUGCAUGUGAAACUAGAUUUCUUGAGUGCUGGAGAGGAAAGCGGAAUUCCUAGUGUAGCGGUGAAAUGCGUAGAUAUUAGGAGGAACACCAGUGGCGAAGGCGGCUUUCUGGCCAGUUACUGACGCUGAGGAGCGAAAGCGUGGGGAGCAAACAGG